rnacentral:rRNA from 1 species
UCGACGGAGAUAUCCGCUGAUGAAGACUUCGGUAAUGAUUCUUGGAUAUCUUGGUGGCGGACGGGUGAGUAACGCGUGAGCAACCUGCCUUUCAGAGGGGGAUAACGUUUGGAAACGAACGCUAAUACCGCAUGAUAUUAUUGAGCUGCAUGGCUUGAUAAUCAAAGGAGCAAUCCGCUGAAAGAUGGGCUCGCGUCCGAUUAGGUAGUUGGCGGGGCAACGGCCCACCAAGCCGACGAUCGGUAGCCGGACUGAGAGGUUGAACGGCCACAUUGGGACUGAGACACGGCCCAGACUCCUACGGGAGGCAGCAGUGAGGGAUAUUGGUCAAUGGGGGAAACCCUGAACCAGCAACGCCGCGUGAGGGAAGACGGUUUUCGGAUUGUAAACCUCUGUCCUCUGUGAAGAUAAUGACGGUAGCAGAGGAGGAAGCUCCGGCUAACUACGUGCCAGCAGCCGCGGUAAUACGUAGGGAGCAAGCGUUGUCCGGAUUUACUGGGUGUAAAGGGUGCGUAGGCGGCUUUGCAAGUCAGAAGUGAAAUCCAUGGGCUUAACCCAUGAACUGCUUUUGAAACUGCAGAGCUUGAGUGGAGUAGAGGUAGGCGGAAUUCCCGGUGUAGCGGUGAAAUGCGUAGAGAUCGGGAGGAACACCAGUGGCGAAGGCGGCCUGCUGGGCUCUAACUGACGCUGAGGCACGAAAGCGUGGGUAGCAAACAGGAUUAGAUACCCUGGUAGUCCACGCUGUAAACGAUGAUUACUAGGUGUGGGUGGACUGACCCCAUCCGUGCCGGAGUUAACACAAUAAGUAAUCCACCUGGGGAGUACGACCGCAAGGUUGAAACUCAAAGGAAUUGACGGGGGCCCGCACA